rnacentral:rRNA from 1 species
CCGGUAGUUGAAAUGGCUUUCCCUCCAGAGUGGAUCCUGAGUACGGCGGAACACGUGAAAUUCCGUCGGAAUCCGGGAGGACCAUCUCCCAAGGCUAAAUACUCCCUAGUGACCGAUAGUGAACCAGUACCGUGAGGGAAAGGUGAAAAGCACCCCGGAAGGGGAGUGAAACAGUUCCUGAAACCGUGUGCCUACAAGUAGUUAGAGCCCGUUAAUGGGUGAUAGCGUGCCUUUUGUAGAAUGAACCGGCGAGUUACGAUUUGUUGCAAGGUUAAGCGGAAAAAGCGGAGCCGUAGCGAAAGCGAGUCUGAAUAGGGCGCAUAAGUAACAGGUCGUAGACCCGAAACCAGGUGAUCUACCCAUGUCCAGGAUGAAGGUAAGGUAAUACUUACUGGAGGUCCGAACCCACGCACGUUGAAAAGUGCGGGGAUGAGGUGUGGGUAGCGGAGAAAUUCCAAUCGAACUUGGAGAUAGCUGGUUCUCUCCGAAAUAGCUUUAGGGCUAGCCUCGAGGUAAAGAGUCAUGGAGGUAGAGCACUGUUUGGACUAGGGGCCCUUCUCGGGUUACCGAAUUCAGAUAAACUCCGAAUGCCAUGUACUUAUACUCGGGAGUCAGACUGCGAGUGAUAAGAUCCGUAGUCGAAAGGGAAACAGCCCAGACCACCAGUUAAGGUCCCCAAAUAUAUGUUAAGUGGAAAAGGAUGUGGGGUUGCUUAGACAACCAGGAUGUUGGCUUAGAAGCAGCCACCAUUGAAAGAGUGCGUAAUAGCUCACUGGUCGAGUGACCCCGCGCCGAAAAUGUACCGGGGCUAAACAUAUUACCGAAACUGUGGAUGAACCUCUUUAGAGGUUCGUGGUAGGAGAGCGUUCUAAGGGCGGUGAAGUCAGACCGGAAGGACUGGUGGAGCGCUUAGAAGUGAGAAUGCCGGUAUGAGUAGCGAAAGAAGGGUGAGAAUCCCUUCCACCGAAUAUCUAAGGUUUCCUGAGGAAGGCUCGUCCGCUCAGGGUUAGUCGGGACCUAAGCCGAGGCCGAUAGGCGUAGGCGAUGGACAACAGGUAGAGAUUCCUGUACCAGUGCUAAUUGUUUAACCGAUGGGGUGACACAGAAGGAUAGGGAAUCGCACGAAUGGAAAUGUGCGUCCAAGCAGUGAGUGUGAGAAGUAGGCAAAUCCGCUUCUCGCGAAGCAUGAGCUGUGAUGGGGAAGGAAAUUAAGUACGGAAGUUCCUGAUUUCACGCUGUCAAGAAAAGCCUCUAGGAAGAGUAGUACUGCCCGUACCGCAAACCGACACAGGUAGAUGAGGAGAGAAUCCUAAGGUGAGCGAGAGAACUCUCGUUAAGGAACUCGGCAAAAUGACCCCGUAACUUCGGGAGAAGGGGUGCUCUAUUAGGGUGCAAGCCCGAGAGAGCCGCAGUGAAUAGGCCCAGGCGACUGUUUAGCAAAAACACAGGUCUCUGCAAAACCGUAAGGUGACGUAUAGGGGCUGACGCCUGCCCGGUGCUGGAAGGUUAAGAGGAGUGCUUAGCUUCGGCGAAGGUACGAAUUGAAGCCCCAGUAAACGGCGGCCGUAACUAUAACGGUCCUAAGGUAGCGAAAUUCCUUGUCGGGUAAGUUCCGACCCGCACGAAAGGCGCAACGAUCUGGGCACUGUCUCAACGAGAGACUCGGUGAAAUUAUAGUACCUGUGAAGAUGCAGGUUACCCGCGACAGGACGGAAAGACCCCGUGGAGCUUUACUGCAACCUGAUAUGGAAUGUUUGUACCGCUUGUACAGGAUAGGUAGGAGCCGAAGAGACGUGUGCGCUAGCAUACGAGGAGGCAAUGGUGGGAUACUACCCUGGCUGUAUGACCAUUCUAACCCGCCACGCUUAGCGCGUGGGGAGACAGUGUCAGGUGGGCAGUUUGACUGGGGCGGUCGCCUCCUAAAGAGUAACGGAGGCGCCCAAAGGUUCCCUCAGAAUGGAUGGAAAUCAUUCGCAGAGUGUAAAGGCACAAGGGAGCUUGACUGCGAGACUGACAAGUCGAGCAGGGACGAAAGUCGGGCUUAGUGAUCCGGUGGUUCCGCAUGGAAGGGCCAUCGCUCAACGGAUAAAAGCUACCCCGGGGAUAACAGGCUUAUCUCCCCCAAGAGUCCACAUCGACGGGGAGGUUUGGCACCUCGAUGUCGGCUCGUCGCAUCCUGGGGCUGUAGUCGGUCCCAAGGGUUGGGCUGUUCGCCCAUUAAAGCGGCACGCGAGCUGGGUUCAGAACGUCGUGAGACAGUUCGGUCCCUAUCCGUCGCGGGCGCAGGAAAUUUGAGAGGAGCUGUCCUUAGUACGAGAGGACCGGGAUGGACACACCGCUGGUGUACCAGUUGUUCCGCCAGGAGCAUCGCUGGGUAGCUAUGUGUGGCAGGGAUAAACGCUGAAAGCAUCUAAGCGUGAAGCCCCCCUCAAGAUGAGAUUUCCCAUUUCUUCGGAAAGUAAGAUCCCUGAAAGAUGAUCAGGUAGAUAGGUUUGGAGUGGAAGUGUAGCGAUACAUGGAGCGGACAAAUACUAAUCGAUCGAGGACUUAACCAAAA